GUGCUCCUUUCUGGCAGCGCAUAUAGUAAGACUGGAACAACAGAAAGAAAAUUAGCAUGCCCCCCUACACAAGGAUGAUGUACAAAUUUGUAGAUAUGUCCUUUUUUUCU
ensembl:snRNA U6 U6 spliceosomal RNA